rnacentral:sRNA from 1 species
CCUUGCUGAACUUGCUCAAUUAUUAUGGGAUCUCACAUGCACACAGUACAGUUCGUCCAUGUGCCGCAACCAUGGUGCCUUGCAGCUAAGAACACACAAUUAAAAACUUCUUGAUGAGUUCCUGAAACAGCAAAGCAAGAGGAGGGACAAAGUACAGUUAAUUAAAACGGGAGCAGUUGUGGUGUCUGCAUCACAUGCCGCUUGCACGUUAUAAAAAAUUCCUGAGUGCCAAUCAGGUGAAGCAUCCGUGGGAUUCCUCAACGGUAAAUGUAGAUGCAAUGGGUCACAUUCUCGUAAGGAUAGGAGUUAUAUUUUCAAUAUGCUGCAGUGAUAUGAUUUUUUU